rnacentral:misc_RNA from 1 species
GUGAAGAACGUAGCAAAAUGCGAUAAGUAGUGUGAAUUGCAGAAUUCAGUGAAUCAUCGAAUCUUUGAACGCACAUUGCGCCCCUUGGUAUCCCGAGGGGCAUGCCUGUUCGAGCGUCAUUUCACCACUCAAGCCUGGCUUGGUGUUGGGCGACGUCCUCUUUGGGGACGCGCCUCGAAACGCUCGGCGGCGUGGCACCGGCUUUAAGCGUAGCAGAAUCUUUCGCUUUGGAAGUCGGGGCCCCGUCUGCCGGAAGACCUGCUCGCAAGGUUGACCUCGGAUCAGGCAGGGAUACCCGCUGAACUUAAGCAUAUCAAUAAGCGGAGGA